GUGGAUUAGAUACCCUGGUAGUCCACGCUGUAAACGAUGUGUGCUAGACGUCGGGAAGCCUAGCUUCUCGGUGUCGCAGCUAACGCGAUAAGCACACCGCCUGGGGAGUACGGCCGCAAGGUUAAAACUCAAAGGAAUUGACGGGGGCCCGCACAAGCGGUGGAGCAUGUGGUUUAAUUCGAUGCAACGCGCAGAACCUUACCAGCCCUUGACAUGGGGAGUAUGGGAACGAGAGAUCGAUCCCUUCAGUUCGGCUGGCUCCCACACAGGUGCUGCAUGGUUGUCGUCAACU
rnacentral:rRNA from 1 species